GGUUGAUGCGCUGCUACCAUGCAGUCGUACGAUGAACCUCACUUGUGGGGGGAUUAGUGGCGAACGGGUGAGUAACACGUGAGUAACCUGCCCUUGACUCUGGGAUAAGCCUGGGAAACCGGGUCUAAUACUGGAUACGACCUUCCCGCGCAUGCGGUGUUGGUGGAAAGCUUUUGUGGUUUUGGAUGGACUCGCGGCCUAUCAGCUUGUUGGUGGGGUAAUGGCCUACCAAGGCGACGACGGGUAGCCGGCCUGAGAGGGUGACCGGCCACACUGGGACUGAGACACGGCCCACACUCCUACGGGAGGCAGCAGUGGGGAAUAUUGCACAAUGGGCGCAAGCCUGAUGCAUCGACGCCGCCUAAGGGAUGAAGGCCUUCGGGUUGUUAAACGUGCUGCAGUCACCUUCGACGGCUCCUCCCACAAGGGGUUAGGCCACCGGCUUCGGGUGUUACCAACUUUCGUGACUUGACGGGCGGUGUGUACAAGGCCCGGGAACGUAUUCACCGCAGCGUUGCUGAUCUGCGAUUACUAGCGACUCCAACUUCAUGAGGUCGAGUUGCAGACCUCAAUCCGAACUGAGACCGGCUUUUUGGGAUUAGCUCCACCUCACAGUAUCGCAACCCUUUGUACCGGCCAUUGUAGCAUGCGUGAAGCCCAAGACAUAAGGGGCAUGAUGAUUUGACGUCGUCCCCACCUUCCUCCGAGUUGACCCCGGCAGUCUCCCAUGAGUCCCCGGCAUAACCCGCUGGCAACAUGGAACGAGGGUUGCGCUCGUUGCGGGACUUAACCCAACAUCUCACGACACGAGCUGACGACAACCAUGCACCACCUGUAAACCGGCCACAAGUGGCUGACACAUCUCUGCAUCAUUCCGGUUCAUGUCAAGCCUUGGUAAGGUUCUUCGCGUUGCAUCGAAUUAAUCCGCAUGCUCCGCCGCUUGUGCGGGCCCCCGUCAAUUCCUUUGAGUUUUAGCCUUGCGGCCGUACUCCCCCGGCGGGGGACUUAAUGCGUUAGUUACGGCGC
rnacentral:rRNA from 1 species